UAAGGAAUAUUGGUCAAUGGAGGCAACUCUGAACCAGCCAUGCCGCGUGCAGGAAGACAGCCCUCUGGGUCGUAAACUGCUUUUAUUCGGGAAUAAACCACAUUACGUGUAAUGUGCUGAAUGUACCGAAGGAAUAAGGAUCGGCUAACUCCGUG
rnacentral:rRNA from 2 species